ACACGCACGCACGCACGCACACACACACACACAUACGCACAAAAUCAUAAUGCCGUUGAAUUGAUAGAUAACUUUCUCCUUUUUGAAGUUGAUUGUAUGUUCCAAAUAAAUUGACAUUAAAUAUGUACGUCAUUAUUAUACACGGUGUGCCUAACGAUUGAAAACCGUCCGAAGGUAAACCUGCGAGCGAGCUUAUAAACAUCACACGCUGUGCAUACGUGAUGCACAAUAACUAUUCAUGUUUGUUAGUUUAUGUACACUGCUGUGCAUAUGGGAGAGCAGAAUCACAGACAUUAUCAAUACUCAUACUAUAUUAUAUUACUAAAAAUGGCAAACAAGCUGACAGCCCACCUGACGGAAAGCCGUAACCGUCGCCUAUAGACAUGAGCAGUACCAUGGAUAUAACAAAGUAUACUGUUUCACCCAUGAUACUUCCCACGCGUUGUCAUUCCCGAAGACUAAAGUGUUAUGUUUUUAUACCAUGUAAAUUCACUGGCAUAGCCCACUCCUCAAACCGAAACACAGCCAUGCAAACACAACUGCUUUACGAUUGAAACACGAAUGAGACAGAGGUAUCCAAGCAAACAAGUUUUGUAUAAAGUCUCCUUAUGUUAUAUGCAAUGAAUGUAUUUAUAGGCAAUGAAGUGUUUAAAGACGCGGAGGUGCUCAGGUUCUGUUCAAUUCUGCCGAGAGACUUGGCUGGUCAUCGCUCAGCAUUUCAUUUGUAUGUACGGAUCAUGGAGGAUGACGGGCGGUAAUGCGAUAACGCGCCACAGUAGGUAUAUUGACAAUACAAUAUCGUGGAACGUAGCAGCGGCCGCUUUAUCCUUCGUGAGCGGCUCCGCGCGCGGCGUCUUUGCCCGCUGUUAUUGGAUUUCCACGACACCACUCGUUCAUACGAGAAUACAGUCUAAUAGGAUCACAGCCCUCGCGCCUUGCACGGUUUCCUUCUCUCGUAGCGUAUAUAGUAUAGUAGCUGUUAUAGUAUCGCACGUAUUACUAAAGUAAUUGAGACGAUUAUUUAUUUGUUAUUCAAACUGUUCGGUGUCUAUGUACAAUCACUUCCGGGGGUGUCGCUGUUACAUCGCGGAAGCUGCGGAUGUUCCUCCCGCCGCGCCCCGCGCCCCGCGCCCCCGCGCCCCCGCGCCCUGCGGCCCACGGCCCCGGCCCGGUGCCCCACAGCCGCAGAGUAGUGCGCGCCCUGCCCGCGACCCGCCCCUGACCUACAUCUCAGCGCGCGGCGCGUGCGUUACGUACGUACAGAGGUGUGGGCACAGCACGGCUCGAGCUCGCCGUCUGCUGAGCACCGCCGGCACCGGCACCGCCACCGCGCAGGCCGUCGCCGAAGUCUCCGUAGCUGCACCUACACACACAGCCACCAGUGGUCAAUUGCUAUAGCGGCAACUCACAGAUUCAUUGCCUUAUUAUUAGUUCCAUCCUCGUGCCUGCUGCCUGCUGCCUGCUGCCUGCUGCCUGCUGCGCGGUGUGCACGUCUCUAUCAUCGUAGCGCCGCGCCGCAUAGCACGGCCGCUCAGCGCACGCAGGUCACGCACUAGGAGGAAAGAAUCCUACCCAUGCAUAAUCUUGGUAAUCGGAUACAUGUCACAGUUGCGUGGCGACAAGGUAUUCGAAUAGUUGGCGCUCUGUUCCACGGGCGGUCGGCGCUGAGAGAAUACAUCGCGGUGGAGGAAGGCGGCCGCCGGCGGUCCACGACGCAGGUUGACAAGUAGGUAUCAGAGAGAGAAUUCUAUAUAAAGAGAUAAGAAUAAUCGAUGUUGUGAGAAAAGCGGAUACAUGGCUUAAUGAGAAGUGGGAAGGUAUUAAGAAUAGGUAUAGCAACGUGACAGGAGAGGAGGGAGCGAGCGCCGGCGACGAGUGAUAGAUGGGUGGACGUACUCGCGUACCAUCUCGCGAGUAACAUACAAGAUAAGCGCCGCCGUAAACCGGUGUGCGACGAAGCGCUACAAAGCGUUUUAUGCACGAAGAAGCGCAGCCAGGGCACGCCAGUCGCAAACAAAGGCGGCCAAGCGCCCCCCACACCUACACCUACACCUACCUACUCUACUUGUAUAGCCACACUUCAAUUAACUUCUCGUGUUAUAUCUACUCGGCAAUAAACUACACUAACUAUAUUGUUUGUUGCAUUUUUAUAUUGCAAUAUUUUCUAUUUGACUGAUUAUCAAUUACCUAUUUGUCUUAUUUCUUUAAGUCUUUAGAGAAUUAAUUACUUAUUGCAAAAUAUGUUUCGAAAUAUAUUUUAUAGUUGAUUUUAUAGGCUGAGUUUUUUUUAAUGGGUGACAAUGGAAUGAUAACCCCGCCUGCGAUAUCGGUAUACACUGAUGUGGCACCAGUGAGAGAUGAUAAGGUGAGGAUGAAGCAGGUUAUUUAUCAUCGUAAAGAAUUCAACAAGAAUUUAUCACGACAGUUUCCAGGGGAAACCACCUGAUAGGGUAUAUUGCUAGCAAUGAGGCUGUUAAACCCCAUUACUAACAAUUCCUUUCCCCCAGGCUGAGAGUCAGGACCAUCAAGAAUGCUCCUCCCAAUGAAUGAAUCCCAAAAUUUCCUAUUUGAUAGAUUGACCGAAUGUUACACUUAGAAACAUUACAUUACCAAUAAUUACGAACUAGAACCACACGAGCAAAGAAAGCGAGCACUCGAUGACCACACAUUGGGGAGGCAGACUUUGACGGCGAGCUCCUUCAACACUCUGCUCGAGAUUUCUAACGUUUUGCUCUGGCGUCAUUGCUCGAAUGCAUCGACCGUGAGGCCGAAAUAGAAUUUCAUGAUUCAGAGGCGUUCAAGAACGUAUACAGAGCGUGUGCAUAAUAUUUUAUUUAUGAACUUCGACAGAUAAUAAUAUAUAUUUUUAUUUUUUCACCUCAGUAGUAUAAAUAAAAAUUUAUACCACUGAGAUGGCAAACAAGCAUACGGCCCACCUGAUAACAAGGUUACCAUCAGGUUACCGUAGCCUAUGAACACCUGCAAUACUAGAGGUAUUACGCGUGCAUUGCCGACCCUGAAGAAACCUUUUUACCUCCCUUUUGAAGAACUCCAUGCUGUAGUCUCUUGGGAAAACCUCGGCAGGGAGCUCAUUCCAUAACCUGAGUGUUCGUGGGAGGAAACAUCUCUGAAACCGUUUCUGUAGGAUAUAAGGAUGGACUCCCUGUCGAUAGCGAGCCGUACGACGGUAGAAAUUAUUUAUUUUACAAUUAAUCUAAUAAUUACAUAAAUAUAUUGCAAAUUGCAUUAAAUUUCAUACGAUUAAUUGAUAACAACCAUAUAUAUAUAUUACAAAUUAUACGAGUAUAUACUCCUAUUUAAAUAUAUAAAUAUAUUUAAAUAGUCUCCAAGUAUUUAAACUCAAUUAUCGGAGACAUUUAAACAAAUAGUAACACUGAGUACCGUGUUCACAAUCACAACGUGCCGUUGCAUAGCUACGUGUGAUUGC